AGUGAACGCUGGCGGUAGGCCUAACACAUGCAAGUCGAACGGCAGCACAGUAAGAGCUUGCUCUUACGGGUGGCGAGUGGCGGACGGGUGAGGAAUACAUCGGAAUCUACUUUUUCGUGGGUGAUAACGUAGGGAAACUUACGCUAAUACCGCAUACGACCUACGGGUGAAAGCAGGGGAUCUUCGGACCUUUCGCGAUUGAAUGAGCCGAUGUCGGAUUAGCUAGUUGGCGGGGUAAAGGCCCACCAAGGCGACGAUCCGUAGCUGGUCUGAGAGGAUGAUCAGCCACACUGGAACUGAGACACGGUCCAGACUCCUACGGGAGGCAGCAGUGGGGAAUAUUGGACAAUGGGCGCAAGCCUGAUCCAGCAAUACCGCGUGGGUGAAGAAGGCCUUCGGGUUGUAAAGCCCUUUUGUUGGGAAAGAAAAGCAGCAGGUUAAUACCCCGCUGUUCUGACGGUACCCAAAGAAUAAGCACCGGCUAACUUCGUG
rnacentral:rRNA from 1 species